UUCUCUCGCAUCGGAUCUGAUCCGCUGGAACGGCUGGUCGAGGACCUUGGAGUUCAAGGCUCAGAUUCACGCAGCCUGUUUAGAUUGCAUAAUAGGUAAUUCCCCUGCAGCAGCGGUGACAGCGUCGUUGGCAGCCCCAGCUUCAAUCCUUCGCCGUUCAUUCAAGAUGAACGAUUGCUGUAUCGUACAGGGAUGGAAAUGGUGUUGGCAUUGAGAUCAUUCUAGAUGUUGUGUACAGUCACAUUAAUGAGGUUAAUGAUAAGAGUCCUUAUACAAUUUCUUUGCGUGGGAUUGAUAA